rnacentral:rRNA from 1 species
UAUAACCGGCGAUACCCGAAUGGGGAAACCCAGUGUGACUCGUCACACUAUCAUUAACUGAAUCCAUAGGUUAAUGAGGCGAACCGGGGGAACUGAAACAUCUAAGUACCCCGAGGAAAAGAAAUCAACCGAGAUUCCCCCAGUAGCGGCGAGCGAACGGGGAGGAGCCCAGAGCCUGAAUCAGCAUGUGUGUUAGUGGAAGCGUCUGGAAAGGCGCGCGAUACAGGGUGACAGCCCCGUACACAAAAGCGCAUGUGCUGUGAGCUCGAUGAGUAGGGCGGGACACGUGGUAUCCUGUCUGAAUAUGGGGGGACCAUCCUCCAAGGCUAAAUACUCCUGACUGACCGAUAGUGAACCAGUACCGUGAGGGAAAGGCGAAAAGAACCCCGGCGAGGGGAGUGAAAAAGAACCUGAAACCGUGUACGUACAAGCAGUGGGAGCACCCUUUGGGUGUGACUGCGUACCUUUUGUAUAAUGGGUCAGCGACUUAUAUUCUGUAGCAAGGUUAACCGAAUAGGGGAGCCGGAGGGAAACCGAGUCUUAAUUGGGCGUUAAGUUGCAGGGUAUAGACCCGAAACCCGGUGAUCUAGCCAUGGGCAGGUUGAAGGUUGGGUAACACUAACUGGAGGACCGAACCGACUAAUGUUGAAAAAUUAGCGGAUGACCUGUGGCUGGGGGUGAAAGGCCAAUCAAACCGGGAGAUAGCUGGUUCUCCCCGAAAGCUAUUUAGGUAGCGCCUCGUGAAUUCAUCUCCGGGGGUAGAGCACUGUUUCGGCUAGGGGGCCAUCCCGGCUUACCAACCCGAUGCAAACUGCGAAUACCGGAGAAUGUUAUCACGGGAGACACACGGCGGGUGCUAACGUCCGUCGUGAAGAGGGAAACAACCCAGACCGCCAGCUAAGGUCCCAAAGUCAUGGUUAAGUGGGAAACGAUGUGGGAAGGCCCAGACAGCCAGGAUGUUGGCUUAGAAGCAGCCAUCAUUUAAAGAAAGCGUAAUAGCUCACUGGUCGAGUCGGCCUGCGCGGAAGAUGUAACGGGGCUAAACCAUGCACCGAAGCUGCGGCAGCGACGCUUAUGCGUUGUUGGGUAGGGGAGCGUUCUGUAAGCCUG